rnacentral:rRNA from 1 species
CAGUCGCCACGGUAAUACGAAGGGUGCAAGCGUUACUCGGAAUUACUGGGCGUAAAGCGUGCGUAGGUGGUGGUUUAAGUCCGUUGUGAAAGCCCUGGGCUCAACCUGGGAAUUGCAGUGGAUACUGGGUCACUAGAGUGUGGUAGAGGAUAGUGGAAUUUCCGGUGUAGCAGUGAAAUGCGUAGAGAUCGGAAGGAACAUCUGUGGCGAAGGCGACUAUCUGGGCCAACACUGACGCUGAGGCACGAAAGCGUGGGGAGCAAACAGGAUUAGAUACCCCAGUAGUCCCUGUCUCUUAUAC